GCCUGAUCCAGCCAUGCCGCGUGCAGGAUGACGGUCCUAUGGAUUGUAAACUGCUUUUGUACGAGAAGAAACACUCCUAUGUAUAGGAGCUUGACGGUAUCGUAAGAAUAAGGAUCGGCUAACUCCGUGCCAGCAGCCGCGGUAAUACGGAGGAUCCAAGCGUUAUCCGGAAUCAUUGGGUUUAAAGGGUCCGUAGGCGGUUUAGUAAGUCAGUGGUGAAAGCCCAUCGCUCAACGGUGGAACGGCCAUUGAUACUGCUGAACUUGAAUUAUUAGGAAGUAACUAGAAUAUGUAGUGUAGCGGUGAAAUGCUUAGAGAUUACAUGGAAUACCAAUUGCGAAGGCAGGUUACUACUAAUUGAUUGACGCUGAUGGACGAAAGCGUGGGUAGCGAACAGGAUUAAAUACCCUGGUAGUCCACGCCGUAAACGAUGGAUACUAGCUGUUGGGAGCAAUUUCAGUGGCUAAUCGAAAGUGAUAAGUAUCCCACCUGGGGAGUACGUUCGCAAGAAUGAAACUCAAAGGAAUUGACGGGGGCCCGCACAAACGGUGGAGCAUGUGGUUUAAUUCGAUGAUACGCGAGGAACCUUACCAAGGCUUAAAUGUAGAUUGACCGUUUUGGAAACAGAACUUUC
rnacentral:rRNA from 1 species